rnacentral:misc_RNA from 1 species
GAAAUGCGAUAAGUAAUGUGAAUUGCAGAAUUCAGUGAAUCAUCGAAUCUUUGAACGCACAUUGCGCCCGCCAGUAUUCUGGCGGGCAUGCCUGUCCGAGCGUCAUUUCAACCAUCAAGCCCCCGGGCUUGUGUUGGGGACCUGCGGCUGCCCGCAGGCCCUGAAAACCAGUGGCGGGCUCGCUGUCACACCGAGCGUAGUAGCAAUCACCUCGCUCAGGGCGUGCUGCGGGUUCCGGCCGUUAAACAGCCUUACAAAACCCAAGGUUGACCUCGGAUCAGGUAGGAAGACCCGCUGAACUUAAUC